UCUUUAUUAUUUAUAGAAUUUAUUUUUAUUAAUAAUUUAAUUGGGGUGAUUAUAAAAUUUUUUUUAACUUUUAUUUUUUAAUUACAUUAAUUAAUGUUUAUUAGAUCUUUUUUAAAAAUAUAUAAAUUAAGU
rnacentral:rRNA from 1 species